GAUGAACGCUGGCGGCGUGCUUAACACAUGCAAGUCGAACGAUGAAGCCCAGCUUGCUGGGUGGAUUAGUGGCGAACGGGUGAGUAACACGUGAGUAACCUGCCCUUGACUCUGGGAUAAGCCUGGGAAACUGGGUCUAAUACUGGAUAUGACUUCUCAUCGCAUGGUGGGGGGUGGAAAGAUUUAUUGGUCUUGGAUGGACUCGCGGCCUAUCAGCUUGUUGGUGAGGUAAUGGCUUACCAAGGCGACGACGGGUAGCCGGCCUGAGAGGGUGACCGGCCACACUGGGACUGAGACACGGCCCAGACUCCUACGGGAGGCAGCAGUGGGGAAUAUUGCACAAUGGGCGCAAGCCUGAUGCAGCGACGCCGCGUGAGGGACGACGGCCUUCGGGUUGUAAACCUCUUUCAGUAGGGAAGAAGCGAGAGUGACGGUACCUGCAGAAGAAGCGCCGGCUAACUACGUG
rnacentral:rRNA from 1 species